UACGUAGGGUGCAAGCGUUAAUCGGAAUUACUGGGCGUAAAGCGCGCGUAGGCGGAUCUGCAAGUCGGGGGUGAAAUCCCGAGGCUCAACCUCGGAACUGCCUUCGAUACUGCGGGUCUCGAGUCCGGGAGAGGUGAGUGGAAUUCCUAGUGUAGAGGUGAAAUUCGUAGAUAUUAGGAAGAACACCAGUGGCGAAGGCGGCUCACUGGCCCGGUACUGACGCUGAGGCGCGAAAGCGUGGGGAGCAAACAGGG
rnacentral:rRNA from 1 species